UACAGAGGUCUCAAGCGUUGUUCGGAUUCAUUGGGCGUACAGGGUGCGUAGGUGGCGCGGUAAGUCGGGUGUGAAAUUUCGGAGCUUAACUCCGAAACUGCAUUCGAUACUGCCGUGCUUGAGGACUGGAGAGGAGACUGGAAUUUACGGUGUAGCAGUGAAAUGCGUAGAGAUCGUAAGGAAGACCAGUGGCGAAGGCGGGUCUCUGGACAGUUCCUGACACUGAGGCACGAAGGCCAGGGGAGCAAACGGG
rnacentral:rRNA from 1 species